rnacentral:lncRNA from 13 species
AUGAGGAGCUGGGCCCAGGCCUCAUUGCUCCCUGCUGCCUGGCCCGGGCAGCAUGUCCACUCUCACAGGACCAGGCCGGGGAGACCCUGCGAGGAUUUGCCGCAGACGCCAGCUGGACGGGGGCCCGCGGUGGUGCCAGUGCUCACGAGAUUAGAGCCUGAGGGAUUAGCUCGCAGUCCCUGUGCCUGCCUCCCUGCCACCCCAGAGGCCAGCUUGGGAGGGGUUGGGGUCAAGCGUGAGGGCCCCCAGGUGCCUGAGCUGGCAUUGGGAUGCAAGGGGACCCGGCUUCAGGCUGAAUCAGGAGAGGACCCAGCACCUGCCCAGCUGCCCUCCUGCACUCGUGUCUCAUGCCUCCAUUCUGCAGGCAGGGCUGCUGCUGAAGGGUUAGGGGCAGUGGGGCGUGGUUCACGCAUCGUCUCCGCAGUGUUUUCCCACGUGUGCCUUGGCCGGCUGCUGGGGGCCAGGGGGAAUGAGAGGGCCAGGCCCCGAAGGAAGUCUGGGAGUGGGGCCAGGAUGUGCAAACAGCAGAUAAAAGCAAAACACGCAAUGCCUUGGACCGACAAGUGCUGGGGAGAAGAGCCCAGCAGAACAGUGGAGAGAGCGCCGGAGGAGGUGCCCUCAAGGCCGGGGACUUGGGGGAGAGAGCAGCGGAGGAGGCGCCCUCAAGGCCGGGGACUUGGGGGAGAGAGCGCCGGAGGAGGCGCCCUCAAGGCCGGGGACCUGGGGGAGAGAGCGGCGGAGGAGGCGCCCUCAAGGCCGGGGACUUGGGGGAGAGAGCGCCGGAGGAGGCGCCCUCAAGGCCGGGGACUUGGGGGAGAGAGCGCCGGAGGAGGCGCCCUCAAGGCCGGGGACUUGGGGGAGAGAGCGGCGGAGGAGACGCCCUCAAGGCCGGGGACUUGGGGGAGAGAGCGGCGGAGGAGGUGCCCUCAAGGCCGGGGACUUGGGGGCCACACUUUGAACAGAGAUCUAGGGAAGCAAGGGGAUUGUGGAAGUGUUGGGGGAGCACCCCGGUAG